AAGCUUUUCCUAGGUUUCCUUUCUAACCAAGGAGGUAAGGACUACACACCCCCACCGGUUGCUUCUACAUGCGAAUCUCGGGACAAGAUUCUUUUUAAGGGGGGUAGGCUGUGACAACCGACCCCAAAUCUCUGGAGUUAAUCCUAAUCCAAGACCCAUCCCCCACCUCAGCUCCCUAAGUUGAAAUGCUCAACCUCCAGUCCCGUCCCGACCCCUGAGAUCCGACCCCUCUCCAUUGGCUCCCCAGUUCCGAC
rnacentral:lncRNA from 1 species